GGAAUAAAAGUCGUAACAAGGUUUCCGUAGGUGAACCUGCGGAAGGAUCAUUAACAAGUCCAUGUGCUCUGGAGGGCGUUUGCUCUCUGACACAUUAGUGCCUACGGCACCCUGUGCACGUAGAAUACAUUCAUUUUGACUGAUUAUUUGCAAACGAAUACAACUUUUAACAAUGGAUCUCUAGGCUCUU
rnacentral:misc_RNA from 1 species